rnacentral:rRNA from 1 species
GACGAACGCUGGCGGCGCGCUUAACACAUGCAAGUCGAACGGAAAGGCCUGCUUUCCCUUGUGGAUUGCGGGUACUCGAGUGGCGAACGGGUGAGUAACACGUGAGUGAUCUGCCCCCAACUUGGGUAUAAGCCUGGGAAACUGGGUCUAAUUCCCGAUAGGACUGCAGGGUGGUGCCUGUGGUGGAAAACGAUUUUCUAGUGGUUGGGGAUGAGCUCGCGGCCUAUCAGCUUGUUGGUGGGGUAAUGGCCUACCAAGGCGGCGACGGGUAGCCGGCCUGAGAGGGUGGACGGCCACAUUGGGACUGAGAUACGGCCCAGACUCCUACGGGAGGCAGCAGUGGGGAAGAUUGCACAAUAGGCGGAAGCCUGAUGCAGCGACGCCGCGUGGGGGAUGACGGCCUUCGGGUUGUAAACUCCUUUCGACCGCGAGGAAGCCACCUGGUUGGAAGGGUGGUGACGGUAGUGGUAGAAGAAGCACCGGCUAACUACGUG